AUCACAUUACCUUACUGUAAUAUAAACAUAAAAAAAAUGGUAUUAUUACAUAGAAACAUGUGCAACCAAUUGAUUCAAAAUAGCACGUGUAUUAUUACACACAUUUUAUGCAAUAUUGCGUUGAAUGAUAAUGCAAUAUUAAAUCUGGCUGCACUUCUCAAUCUUUGCUGCAGCGGCUGCAGCAGUAUCCGACAGACUGUGGAGGUGCCAUUUUGAAACCCUCUGCAUUGAAUUCGGAAAAAUAUUUUCUUGCUUUGUUGCUGAUCGAGCCUUGCUCGCGCAUUAAUUGCGAUUAAAACCGAGAUUAAAACAUGGAAUGUGAGGUCCUGUGAAACCGCAUAAAAGGAUUGUGCAUUUUCAUGUGACGGACCGGCAUAGGAAAAAGAACUUGCUCAAGCUACAGUCGAAUCAACUGGUUCGCGGUAGGAUAUAAGGAAGGUUACCGGAGAAUCCCAGUCUGUUCCGAUAUGCCGUGGUUUUUUUAGUCGUGGAAUAGUCGUGAGGAGAGAGCGAUUAUCGGUGGAAGUGUCCGGCCUCGACGGUGCGUGCCCAUUGAUAGACCUUCACCCAUUCAUCGUUUAUGUGGCCAGGAAGCUACACCGUUUGUUCAGCAGUCCUGUCAACUGUCGGAAGUUCUUAGCGAUUCCAAGUGGCGAUAUGCGAUAUGUGAGUAAUGGCUACCAGAUUACUGCAACUGUUGCCGAUGGUAUGAUGCUUCGGGAAUGUUUUAUGUCUGGGAGAUAUCGAAGGUUCUGCAUCGAGAAGCAAUUAAUUACGCGGUUUCGAAGUUCCCCGAAUGCUGAAACCUUCCGGAACGCUCUGUUUAACAUCACUCCAGCGAAGGUAAUCCGGAAGCGAGCCCUGCAAGGAAAUUGCCCAAUAUCGACUCGCCAAAUCUGCGGAAAGUUCUGCCGUGAGCCAAGGAUGACUCAGCACCUGCCGUCGAUGACUAAAACGUGGAGAAACUUAUCAACACCAGCUUGUGGGACUCGGCUGAUUUAGAACUGAAGAAGUUGACCGGUUCAAGGUGUAUCGCAAUUGCAUGAGUCCCGCCUUCAUGACAGAUCAGCAUAGUGAGCAAAAAAUUGAUUAUAUUUAUUCUGCCGACAUGAUGUAUUAAAUAAACAAAUCAUCUAAAAAACUAGGCUAAAAACUUAUUGAAGCAAGAAAACAAGAAACAAC